rnacentral:rRNA from 1 species
AGGGUUUGAUUAUGGCUCAGGACGAACGCUGGCGGCGUGCUUAACACAUGCAAGUCGAACGAUGAUGCUCUGGUUUUCUGGGGUGGAUUAGUGGCGAACGGGUGAGUAACACGUGAGUAACCUGCCCUCUUCUUUGGGAUAACGGUCGGAAACGGCUGCUAAUACUGGAUAUUCACUCAUUGGCGCAUGUUGGUGGGUGGAAAGGUUUUUUCUGGUGGGGGAUGGGCUCGCGGCCUAUCAGCUUGUUGGUGGGGUGAUGGCCUACCAAGGCUUUGACGGGUAACCGGCCUGAGAGGGUGACCGGUCACAUUGGGACUGAGAUACGGCCCAG